rnacentral:tRNA from 1 species
CCAAAGAGUAGUUUAAGUAGAAUUUUAGCUUUGGGAGUUAAAGGUAGGAGUUAAAGUCUCUUUUCUUUGA